AAUUACGGUCAUAUCCAGAGUAAAACUUCUGAACCCAUUAGAUCUCAGUAAAUAAGUCUCUGAGAGCUCAUUCAAGUACUAUCCGGGAAAGUUGAGUACUGUAAUUU
rfam:Hepatospora eriocheir strain GB1 NODE_1616, whole genome shotgun sequence.